CGGGACACGUGGUAUCCUGUCUGAAUAUGGGGGGACCAUCCUCCAAGGCUAAAUACUCCUGACUGACCGAUAGUGAACCAGUACCGUGAGGGAAAGGCGAAAAGAACCCCGGCGAGGGGAGUGAAAAAGAACCUGAAACCGUGUACGUACAAGCAGUGGGAGCACGCUUAGGCGUGUGACUGCGUACCUUUUGUAUAAUGGGUCAGCGACUUAUAUUCUGUAGCAAGGUUAACCGAAUAGGGGAGCCGAAGGGAAACCGAGUCUUAACUGGGCGUUAAGUUGCAGGGUAUAGACCCGAAACCCGGUGAUCUAGCCAUGGGCAGGUUGAAGGUUGGGUAACACUAACUGGAGGACCGAACCGACUAAUGUUGAAAAAUUAGCGGAUGACUUGUGGCUGGGGGUGAAAGGCCAAUCAAACCGGGAGAUAGCUGGUUCUCCCCGAAAGCUAUUUAGGUAGCGCCUCGUGAAUUCAUCUCCGGGGGUAGAGCACUGUUUCGGCAAGGGGGUCAUCCCGACUUACCAACCCGAUGCAAACUGCGAAUACCGGAGAAUGUUAUCACGGGAGACACACGGCGGGUGCUAACGUCCGUCGUGAAGAGGGAAACAACCCAGACCGCCAGCUAAGGUCCCAAAGUCAUGGUUAAGUGGGAAACGAUGUGGGAAGGCCCAGACAGCCAGGAUGUUGGCUUAGAAGCAGCCAUCAUUUAAAGAAAGCGUAAUAGCUCACUGGUCGAGUCGGCCUGCGCGGAAGAUGUAACGGGGCUAAACCAUGCACCGAAGCUGCGGCAGCGACGCUGAUGCGUUGUUGGGUAGGGGAGCGUUCUGUAAGCCUGUGAAGGUGUGCUGUGAGGCAUGCUGGAGGUAUCAGAAGUGCGAAUGCUGACAUAAGUAACGAUAAAGCGGGUGAAAAGCCCGCUCGCCGGAAGACCAAGGGUUCCUGUCCAACGUUAAUCGGGGCAGGGUGAGUCGACCCCUAAGGCGAGGCCGAAAGGCGUAGUCGAUGGGAAACAGGUUAAUAUUCCUGUACUUGGUGUUACUGCGAAGGGGGGACGGAGAAGGCUAUGUUGGCCGGGCGACGGUUGUCCCGGUUUAAGCGUGUAGGCUGGUUUUCCAGGCAAAUCCGGAAAAUCAAGGCUGAGGCGUGAUGACGAGGCACUACGGUGCUGAAGCAACAAAUGCCCUGCUUCCAGGAAAAGCCUCUAAGCAUCAGGUAACAUCAAAUCGUACCCCAAACCGACACAGGUGGUCAGGUAGAGAAUACCAAGGCGCUUGAGAGAACUCGGGUGAAGGAACUAGGCAAAAUGGUGCCGUAACUUCGGGAGAAGGCACGCUGAUAUGUAGGUGAAGCGACUUGCUCGUGGAGCUGAAAUCAGUCGAAGAUACC
rnacentral:rRNA from 1 species